UCUUCUAACAUUACUAUUUAGAUCCAAUAACUUCAAAUGAUUUUUGAUUUCAGACUCUUAUGGUAUGAUGUAUUAUGUAUCUUAAUUUUUCCACAAUUCCUUAUUGUCUCGAGGGAUAUCAUAUUGCUGCUACACUUAGUUGUUAUAAAGUCUUAUUUUCAAAAUUGUGCAACACCUAGUUCUAAUUUACUUCUGGACUUUUUUCUGAAAUUACAGUAGUGAAAUAUCUGUGUAAAUUUAGUGUUGGGUAUAAAUAAAAAAUUAAAAAAAAAUCCCUCCUCUCUCUCUCUCUCUCUCUCUCAACAGGCGUAGCAAUGCAUGUAAAGAUUUCCAGUAGUUUUAAAUGUUGUGGCGCUUUUUUCCUAUGAUCAAUACGAAAUAUUUCAAUAAUACUGUAAAAAUUUGUGCAUCAUGAGACAAGAUUAGCUAUUUAUGUUUGCCUAGUAUCAGGCGUGUAAUUUACGUUUGCCUAGUAUCAGGUGUGUAAUGGAAAAACAGUUGAUUUUUUUAUUGUGAGAAAUUACACUUGCCUCCGUUGAGGCACAGUGUAACUCGGGCCUCCCCUUCCAGCUUUUCCCUGAGAUGUUGUUCCCUCCUCCUACUCCUCCUCUUUGAAAGAAGUUGAUCCCUAAGGUUUCUGUUUACUGCCCUUAAGAGUCAAUUGCAAGUGUGUGCUUCUCUCUUGUCGCCAAAUGAAGAUCCCUCUUGUAUGAUCUGAAGCAGGAAUCUUUAUCCAAAGAUAUGAAGUUUCAUUGCUGUUAUAAUCUUUUUAUGCUGUAUGUUCCAGUUCAUAUUUGUAAAGUAACUAUUUUCUUUUUCUCUUAAGGUGAUGAUUUGUUUGUGCAGA